rnacentral:rRNA from 1 species
AUUGAACGCUAGCGGGAUGCCUUACACAUGCAAGUCGAACGGAGUGGCGAACGGGUGAGUAAUGUAUCGGAACGUGCACAGUAGCGGGGGAUAAAUACGCGAAAGCGUAGAUAAUACCGCAUACUUUUGGAGCGGCCGAUACCGGAGUAGCUAGAUGGUGGGGUAACGGCUUACCAAGGCGACGCUCCGUCGCCGGUUUGAGAGGACGACCAGCCACCCGGGGACUGAGACACGGCCCAGACUCCUACGGGAGGCAGCAUUGGGGAAUGUUGGACAAUGGGGGAAACCCUGAUCCCGCCAUCCCGCGUGUGCGAUGAAGGCCUUCGGGUUGUAAAACACUUUUGGCAGGAAAGCGGUACCUGCAGAAUAAGCACCGGCUAACUACGUGCCAGCAGCCGCGGUAAUAC